rnacentral:snRNA from 1 species
ACCCAUACCUGGCAGGGGAGAUACCAUUAUUGUAAAAAUUGGUUUUCCCAGUUUAAGGCUCAUCUAUUGCACUUUGGAUGUGCUGAUCCCUGUGAUUUCCCCAAAUGUGGGAAAAUCAACUGCCCAAUUUAUAGUAAUGGGGGACUGUAUUUGUGGUUUUCCCUG